rnacentral:lncRNA from 1 species
AUAAAUUGUCAGAAAGAGGAAAGCUUCUUAAAGAGACUGGUGUCUUCCUCCUAGAACAAAACUGCAUUUUACCCCUUCACUCUGCAAGUCUGAGAAAGGUGUGAAACAGGAAGACACUGUUACCUGUUGCUCCUGGGAUGUGAAGUGACAAUGCCCAGAGAGAAAAUGGGUACUUUUUGUGAACAGCUCUUUAAAGAGAAGGGUGAUGAAUGGGGAAUGCUUCUCACCAGGUUGGUUGCUUUUUGAAUUCACUAAGAAAAAAGAGAGGUGAAAGGGAAUUGUCAGAUAAGUCCAAUAUUAGUCCAUGUCUUAGUAACUUUUUCUAUGACCCUGUAUGUGUGACCAGUACCCAAUCUAAUAUUGUAACCUAGAAGACUUAACAUUGUUGCCUAUAUGACAUUUUUUUCCCCACUAUUCAAGACGGUGUCUCUGAUGUUAGUUGCUCAGAAUGGUCAAUCUACCUCUCUACUGCUGCAAGUCAUCAUUGAAGUUCAAAGUCCCCUCGGUGUGGAUAUAGGGAAAGGGAUACACAGAAGGCAUACAAAAUGGGAAAUAUGAGAUGACCGUAGAUGUUUCAAUACUAAACAUGAGAGACUGGGAACAUUGGGACGAGAAUCUUUGACUGUUGAAUAAGAAAAAGCAUGCCUGACCUUUUGAUUUAAUACAUUCAAAUGUCACAGGUAUGUGGAGAUGAGGACAAUGGUUGUUGAAAAUUACCCCUGUUCUCAUGUAUAUAUGUAUUUAUUAAUAUGGGACAACGUAUUUUGCUUUUGUAGUAACUCAUAUGAACUGGUGAUUAAUUAUAACUAAUUACCAUUGUAACAACUGUAAAUUUGGUUUUUAAAUGUUCCAGAUUAACACUUUUAUGUUUUAUGCAUUACAUUAAUGAAAUCCAUGCAUAUAAGCUCAAUUUUCUUUCUUACUCAAAUAUCAUGUUGUUCAUUCAGUCGUACAUGUGGAGAAGGCACCCCUGGCUAGUUUUCUGUAUUAAAAUGCAAUGGGUGAUCAUGAGUAAUGAGAAGGGAUAAGACUGUAUUAAUGUCAAUUUAGCUGAUCUGUUUUUCUAGUGUUGCAUUUCAAGCAUCAGAGGUAACAUCCAGUUAUGAUGUGGAUAAUGCAUCCAUGGGUUCUGAAGUAAAAUAUGGGCCAAUUAUAGAUCCUGAUGGACAUAGCCAGAAUUUCAAAUAAAGUACUGAAAUGGUCUAUUAUGCUCCAUCUAUGGGAUAUUGGACACUUUUACCUUAUAUUUCACUAUGUUUUGCAGAUUCUCCACUGCAAAAAGAAAGAGAAUAUGUCAAGUUAAAUCCAUUAAAGCAUCUCUCUACUAUUUGAAGUGUCAGUGUGAGACUUCAUACAUGAUUUUAUUUAGAAUCAGCAAAAUGACAGAUAUCUCACCUAUGCCUGUUUCUUCAAAUUUCUAUGCUGACACCUUAGGGCUUACAAUACUCUACUCUGAAGUUUAUUAUUAAUGUACUGAUUUUUAAACCAUUGUAUAGGACACCCUAAGUGUUAGGAGCCUUUAUAUGAUAAUGGAAAACAAAUCAGUAAUGCUAAUAUUCUUGCAUUUGAAGAAGGCCAUGAUUACAAAUGCAUAAAAACCUGGCACUUAGUGUAAGAGUGAAAUAAGGAUGAAAGCUUUUCUCUGUUGGUUGUCAAAACAUUUUUUGAAAUUCUCAAGCCUGGAAAAUUAGCUUACUGUCAUCAAGUCUUUUGCCAUGAGAACCAUUAUUUUAAUUUCUUACUGAAAUUCCUGUUGAGAAGUCAAGCUCUGCAGCCUUUUGUUUUACGUAAACUGUACAUGAUUAUAGAUAUGGUAUGUCUCUGCAGAAGAGCAAGGACUAAUGUCAGAAAUGGGAAACGAGAUGAGAUGUUUUCUAUGGACAAUUACCAGGCUCUGUUUCAAAAAAAUAAAAUAAAAUAAACACCAUCAUUUACUUCUUUCUAGUGAUUUUGUUUUGCUGUGGUCUUAUUAUGCAUUAGUGUAAGACAUAGAUGAUUGUUUAGGAAAGAAAAAGCAUGAGAUUGAUUUUCAAUGCCUCAUCUUGAAGUGGUUCUAAGAAGUGGGAAAAGCAUGUCAAAUUUAUGUUAAGGACCUUCUUCUGUUCUGACUCAACAUCCAAUGACUUUGUUUUGUGAGUAAUUUUACAUUAAAUCAUUAUGUCUCUUAGGGGUUGAAAUUUAUUAAGAAUGUUGGUAUAUAAGGAAAGAAGAAAAUGUUCUUUAAAAUACAAUAAAUAUGAAGGUGGAAGGAGUAAAAUAUUAAAAGCAAGUCAGCCAAACUUAAAGUUCUGGAAACUGUACAGAAAUGUAUUUUUAAAGGACACCUUUUGACAAAUAAUGGUGCUUUCAGAAUCACUGAGUAUAGAUAUCUUUGACAAUAAUAUUAUGACUUAAGCCACUUUAAUAUUUUCUUAGCAGAAAAUUGCUCCAGUGAUACUUUCAAAGAAGUGUUUGGAGAAGUAUAUAUCUAAUAGAUUGGUCUACAAUUCCCUAUCUAGUUUAUGUCUUUACCUGCCUUUUCUGGAUUCAAAAGCUACUUGUGCAAUGCCUAAAAUUCACCCAACAAUAUUGAAAACAGAUCAGUAAUUAUAUAUCCACAUGGAAAUUUUAUUCAGACAUGGAUGCUGAUUUUUGCUUCACACACCUUAAGCCAGUGCUUCCUAUGUCAAUAUGAGGCAUAGGCAGGUUGUAGAAGAAGCUAUUCCUUUAAACUCCACUAUCAUCUUCUUUAUCACUCUGUAACACAAUCUGGCAGACUCUGCAUUAGAUAGUUUGUUCCUUUAAUAAGCAUAUUCUUGGUUUUUGACUCUGUGGAUUGGAAUCAAACAUAGUACAAAUAUCUUCUUAUAGACCCUAGGUUAUGUAGGCCCAUACAAACAUUAUACUGUUUUUUUAUUCUGAAGCUAAGAUCAUUGGGAGUGAUCUUUUAAAAGUCCAGUUCAUAAUUUCCAGUAUUGAUAAAAAGGAUAUGCUUAACUAACCAACUUCUUUUGAACUUAUACCUUAAUGAUGAUGCUAUUUUUUUUUCUUUUUAGGGCCACACUCCCAGCAUAUGGAGGUUCACAGGCUAGGGGUCAAAUGUGGAGCUACACCACAGCCACAGCAACACGGGAUCUGAGCUGUGUCUACAACCUACACCACAGCUCACAGCAAUGCCAGAUCCUUAACCCAACUGAGCAGAGCCAGGGAUCAAACCCAGGUCCUCAUGGAUACUAGUUGGGUUUGUUAACCCCCUGAGCAGAGCCAGGGAUCGAACCCAGGUCCUCGUGGAUACUAGCUGGGUUUGUUAACCACUGAGCCAUGACAAGAACUCCUGAUGAUGCAACUUUUUGAAUAAGCUGCAUGCCUUUUCUGCUUCUUUAGAAAAAUAAGAGAUAAAUAUUCUCUUUUUAAAGAAGAUAUGGAUUUAUGUGAUCAUGAUCCUUAGCAGUUUUAAUAAUAAAUGACCCUACUUUCUAUUCAUCCCUAGAAAGUCUACAAAUCAAUUAUUCUAAAAAUAAAGAAAUUAUUUUGGUAAAUAUGUCUAUCUUCUAAUUGACAUAUGGUUGACAAUUCCAAACCAUAGUUAUUUUGAAUGAACUUGAAAACAUUGGGCUAUGUGACUUUAUGAUAUCAAUCAAAAUGAGAAAAAAAGUUUCUAUUUUAGGAAGAAACAUUCACAGUCUAAUUUGGAAGGUUUACUUUCCACUGUCCACUUAUAACUCUUAGUUAUUUGCCACUGUUUUCAAAACAAUUUCAAAAUCAAUUUUCAGUCAUGAACAUUCAGUACUGAAUUGGUCAAUAGAGAGAUAUAUUUUAAACAUAGUAACUAAAAUAAUUAACUCUUCUCAAAGAAACACUUUCAGAUAUUUUUUCUUUUACUAUUGGGACAUCCUAAUCUUGCCAGAGAGACAGAAAUAAUUACUUUCAUUUUACAAAAGAGAAAAGUUAAAAGACUCUUUCAAACUAUGCAGUAAUUAAUAAUAAUACUUAAAUACCUUCUAUGAAUCUUAAAUUCCAGUUCUAUUCUUACAUAAUGUUUAUGAUCUAUGCAUUUUUACUAUAGUUCAUUGAGUUUUUCCCAUUGAGAAAUCAAACUUUCCUGUCUCUUAUUUAAUAUAAACCAAACAUGAUUAUAAUAUGACAACAAUGACUAACAUCAGAAAUGAUAAUGGGUUGUGUUUUUCUCUAGACAGUUAGUUAUCCUGCCUUAUUUCAGAAAAAAAAAUACUUGUUUAUAAUGAUUUUGCUUUUAUGUAGUAGAUUUUUAUAAACUAUAAAUUACUGUCUAGGAUAGAACAUGGUGAUUGCAGGAUGCAGCAAUUUUUAUAUUCCAGUGAGAAAGAAAACUUCUAUCAAUUCAAAGAUACCAUUGCUUAUAAAAUGCUACCCUACUUUGGAGUUGUGAGCAUGUUGAGAAACUUUGCAUCUUACAAUCAAUUUAAUUCAAUAUUAUAAAGCCUGCUUUAUAAAAUAUGUCAUUUAUUUCAUCUAGUCUUGUUCUUAGUAGAUGGGCUUUGAUUUACAUGCGUACAUUCAUUUUGAGCUGCUCGUGAGUGUUUUGGUGUUCCUGUAAUACUGAAACUUUUUUUUUUGACAGAAAAUGCAAAGAGCUGACUAAAAACAAUCAAAAUAAGGUUUUUAAUAUCUUGUUGCAUUACUUCACUUCCCCAGAGAUUUAAGAGAUUUACUGUUGCAAAUUUGGUUUUGAAAGACUAAGGUACUGGGUGAACAUGCUAUUCUAGUUAAUUCCAAAUCUUAAAUUGUUGCUACUAGAAUGAAUGAGGACUAAAUUAUAUGUCAACAGAGUUUAGAUUUUGACUUGGUUUUGUAGAACAACCCUAAUAUUUUCCAAAUUUGGAAAGUGAAAAGAAGGUUUUUAAAUGUUAAAUGAAGAUACUGAAAUAAAACUAUCUACUAUGUUUGAUGCAUAGGCUCAGUUUUAGUCAGAAGUAUGGUUUUGAAUAGUCCUUGAAUCCCCCAAUAAGACAACUCAGCAGUUUCUUUUACAGUCUUGUAGCAAUUGUCCUUCACUCUCUGCAUGUGUUGGCAUACCCUAUCAUGUGAAAAAGAGAUGUAAACACUGGACUAUAUCAUCAAUCACAUUUAAUUUGAAAUAUUUUCCCACAUCUCUUAGAGUGUAUCUUUUUUUUAAAGUAGAAGGUCAGUAACUCACACAAUCAAAAGGAUGAUGGUUCUGCCCUUGAAGUAUUAGACUUUACUGAGUUUAUUUUCCCCUUACCUAACUCACACUUUAUAUAGGAGACAAAAAAAAGGCCCCUUUCCUUUCCCCUCAAAAUUUCAAAAAUGUUGAAGACAUUCAACCUCCUUUAUCUAAUGUCUAGGUUUAAAUCUCUGAGAGACACAGAUUAAAAACAUUCACAUUUCCAUAUCCUACUUUGGCUCCAGUUAAAGUUCUUUUAAUACAGGAUAACCUGUGUGUUUCUUAAGGGGCACUGUGAGGAGGCAGAAGGAACCCUGGACAGAAAUCUCAAAACUUGGUUCAUGUCUAGGAUGUUCUACUUAUUACUGGUGUCUUGCAGACAAAAAUCACUCAAUAAAUAUUAAUAUGGUAGAUUAAUUAACAACUAAUAUAGCAAUGAAUACCCCAAACUCUAUCCUUGUAUUGCUCAUAGUGUGGUUGGGAAGGUAGAUUGUUAAGAUAUAAAGUGAUUGACUCCAGAUGUUGGAAGUAUGGAUGUAGUUAUCACUGGAGGUAUUGCAGAAGGUGGGGGAGAGGCUUGGAGUUUACUGAAUGCAUCUCAAGAAGCAGGUAAACUAUAAUCUACAUUUGAAUAACCAGAAAAAGGAGGCAUACUGAAUAAUCUACUUAAGCCAAAGCUAUUCAUUUAAUAUAUGCAGAGAAGUAAGAAUUUGGCUCUGGUAAAAUCUAAAUUCCAAGUAAUUGGAAUAAGUGAAUGACUACCUUUCCAAUGCCUACUCCUCUAACAAUAGUUCAAUUGGAUUGGAUGUUAGGCCAUAUCCUACUUUGUACUCUUUAAUAUCACCCACUUAAUUUGAGCCGUAUUUUGUAUAUUUAUUAAUCCAAAUCAUGAUAUCUCAGCAACUUUGAACAACUCUUUGACUUCAUCCUCUUUAUCACUCCAUUCUUCCAACAUUUUCUGUUGCUUGCCCCACCUACCAUCAUUAUAUGUUAUGGUAUAACUUAAAGUUAUAGUAAAGCUUAAUUGGUAAAUUGUGUCAAAUUGAUUUUAUACACUUGGAUGCCCUACUGUUUC